AGAUAGCAUAGACUAAGUGGCUUGUAAACGGAAGAUCCUGCACAUCCUAUGACCAAGGAAUUAAUGUGGUAUCUGAUGUGACCCACACACAGUUACAGACGGUAUCUGCUGUGUCCUUAUGUGGUACAAGAGGAAGGCAGCUCUCUGGGGCCUCUUGUAAGGGCUGUAACGCUGUUUCUGGUGAGCCAUGUGACACAAGACUUCUUGGAGCGAAUUCAGCCACCCGUGGUGCUUCUUGAAUCAAAGGGAAAGGAGAGAAUGAAAAUGGUAAUCGUAGAUGAAGCACAGUCUAGAAUUGCAGCUGACCUUGGCAGUUUUCAAGAGAAGUGGCCACGUACUUCAGGGAAUACUCCUCAUCUUCAGUUUCUCUGUGGUUGUCUUCAUAGUUUAAGUGGGGACAUAGAUUUCUAGGCAAAGAUCACAGAGGCGAAAGUACCAUUCUUAUCGGAU